UACGUAGGAUGCAAGCGUUGUCCGGAAUUAUUGGGCGUAAAGAGCGCGCAGGCGGUAACUCAAGUCAGAUGUGAAAUAUCCGGGCUUAACCCGGAGGGGUCAUUUGAAACUGAGUAACUAGAGUACAGCAGAGGAUAGCGGAAUUCCUGGUGUAGCGGUGAAAUGCGUAGAGAUCAGGAAGAACAUCGGUGGCGAAGGCGCUCUGCUGGACCAUAACUGACACUCAGGGACGAAAGCUAGGGGAGCGAAUGGG
rnacentral:rRNA from 1 species